rnacentral:rRNA from 1 species
CCAGACUCCUACGGGAGGCAGCAGUGGGGAAUAUUGCACAAUGGGGGAAACCCUGAUGCAGCGACGCCGCGUGAGUGAAGAAGUAUCUCGGUACGUAAAGCUCUAUCAGCAGGGAAGAUAAUGACGGUACCUGACCAAGAAGCCCCGGCUAACUACGUGCCAGCAGCCGCGGUAAUACGUAGGGGGCAAGCGUUAUCCGGAUUUACUGGGUGUAAAGGGAGCGUAGACGGCAGCACAAGUCUGGAGUGAAAGGCGGGGGCCCAACCCCCGGACUGCUCUGGAAACUGUGUAACUUGAGUGCAGGAGAGGUAAGCGGAAUUCCUAGUGUAGCGGUGAAAUGCGUAGAUAUUAGGAGGAACACCAGUGGCGAAGGCGGCUUACUGGACUGUAACUGACGUUGAGGCUCGAAAGCGUGGGGAGCAAACAGGAUUAGAUACCCCUGUACA